rnacentral:lncRNA from 1 species
GUAGGUCUUCUCGACCGAACCACGUAAAUCCGGUGUCGUUUAUUGCUUUCUAGUUUAGGUGUUGGUUUCUCGUUUCACCAACUGGCGCCGUCUGUGGGAAAAUCGAGCUAAGGCGUGAGAUUCACUGUUCAUCGAAGUUACUGUUCAUCGAGAAGAAAAAAAAAUACAAUUCAUCUUCUCCGAUCUAUUCUGUCACUUUUCCGGCGAUAUCAGCCACUGAAACAGAGGUAAACCUCCUUCACAAAAAAUGAAAACAUCCUGCCAAUACCACCGAUGACCUCCUUCGAAAAAUCGAGGUUCACCCAUUUCAGUUCCCCAAAAACUGAUCACUUCCCGAUUUCCUCAGCAAAUCCCCCAAAAAAUUCGAUCCAGAAGCGAAAAUCUGAAAUCCUCAAAGAAAAGACCCCAAUCUCCACAAAUUCCCUUUAUUCCAGCCUAAAUCGCUGCUCACUAGGUUCUCCGGCGGAAAUCCGGCACCCAAAUAUGAAAUCCAGCCUACCAUCGUCAUUAUUUCUCUCUCUCGUAAAACACCAGAAAAAUUUCCCCUCAAAUCCACAUCGUGGUUCUCUCUGAAAAUCCGGCAAACGCCACUCUUCCCUGAACUCCAAAGCCUUCUGCCGUGCAAACAUUUGGAAUCAACCCAUCUUUCACCCUCUCCAGUCGAACUAGUCUCCCUCUGUCAAAAUCAGCAGAGCCGUCGUCCGCUUCCUGGUUCGAAACAGGUCCGUCUGUAUAUCGAGCCUCCUCCACGCCGCAAAAUCUCGAAGAGGGCUCCAUUGGAGACCCCCCAAAUGAUGAUCUGGGCCUCGAGAAGAAAUGAAUACCAAAGCUAAGAUAUCUGUUCCUCUCUCUAUAUGUUAUCACCCUUUGAACUGCAUUAGGGAGAUGAGAACUGAAAUUAUGUCUGCGAUCAUUCCCUUCUACGAUCUGCUAAUUUCAUUGUUACUUUUGAAAAUGUUUAUCUGGAGAACAUAUAAGUUUGGCUAAAUGUUUGAGAUAUUAAGAUGCCUACUGCGUGUUCUUGAUUUUAAAGAUUCAAAGAUUUGUGUCGAGAUUCACGUUGUCACUUGUGGGGUUAUAGUGAUUGAAAACAAAUACGAAUUUCAUUCAUAUUGAACUUAGCCCAUUAAUUUCUACUAAUUUUAUUUACUAGUCUCUUGUCUAGAGGGAUAGCAAAAUGAUCAGGAUAUUUCAGUAGCUUUUCUAUUGUACACUACCUUGAUUGUGUAGCGAUUGGCCUUUUUAAAUUCAUCAUUUGCCCUGUGCUGGUUCUUGGGAUUUUUGAGCUUGGUAUUAUUGUGCUUUUACUUUACUUGUAAGCUUGAUAGUGCUGAUGCUAUUAUGGUUUUU